rnacentral:lncRNA from 1 species
CUGUUGGAAAAAAUUAAUAGCCAAAUCAAAACGCAAAAACCUCAUAAAUUUUCACAUACUUCUUUCGUUGCGAAAUAUGUUACGAAUAUCAGGAUUUGAUCUCGUCUUAUUUUAUGAACUCCUUGAUCUGCCAAUAAUCUAUCUCAAUUUCUUACACGUUGUUCUUUCUUGUUCCGAAUCGGCUAUCAGAGUCGAUUGUAGCACACCGCCCAAAUCUUUAGGGUUUCUAAUGGUACCCCAGAGCGAACCCGAGAGUGAGAGAAUUUUGUGGAGAGAUUAAAUUAAUUUUUCUUUCAUAUUGUAUGUAGCCAAUAUCUCAUAUAUUUAUAGGCCAUGAGAGGGAGACAUUAAUCCUAACCCUAUUUUGACUAAAUCUCUCAUAAAUAUAGAUUCAAAUAGAUUAGGAUCUAUCUCUUUGAUUUAUUCCUUAUCCCAUAUGAACUAAAAAUAUCUCAGAUAAUUAUCAAUAUUUAUUUCUUAUCCUAUAUUGAUUAGGAGUAUUUUAAAUA